UGCCAGCCGCCGCGGUAAUACGGAGGGGGUUAGCGUUGUUCGGAAUUACUGGGCGUAAAGCGUGCGUAGGCGGUUUAUCAAGUCAGAUGUGAAAUGCCUGAGCUCAACUGAGGCACUGCGUUUGAAACUGAUAGACUUGAGUAUUCCAGGGGUAUGCGGAACUGCCAGUGGAGCGGUGAAAUGCGUUGAUAUUGGCAGGAACACCAGUGGCGAAGGCGGCAUACUGGGGGAUAACUGACGCUGAGGCACGAAAGCCAGGGUAGCGAACGGGAUUAGAUA
rnacentral:rRNA from 1 species